CCGUAGAGUUUGAUCCUGGCUCAGAUUGAACGCUGGCGGCAGGCCUAACACAUGCAAGUCGAACGGUAGCACAGAGAGCUUGCUCUCGGGUGACGAGUGGCGGACGGGUGAGUAAUGUCUGGGAAACUGCCUGAUGGAGGGGGAUAACUACUGGAAACGGUAGCUAAUACCGCAUAACGUCGCAAGACCAAAGAGGGGGACCUUCGGGCCUCUUGCCAUCAGAUGUGCCCAGAUGGGAUUAGCUAGUAGGUGGGGUAAUGGCUCACCUAGGCGACGAUCCCUAGCUGGUCUGAGAGGAUGACCAGCCACACUGGAACUGAGACACGGUCCAGACUCCUACGGGAGGCAGCAGUGGGGAAUAUUGCACAAUGGGCGCAAGCCUGAUGCAGCCAUGCCGCGUGUAUGAAGAAGGCCUUCGGGUUGUAAAGUACUUUCAGCGGGGAGGAAGGUGUUGCGGUUAAUAACCGCAGCAAUUGACGUUACCCGCAGAAGAAGCACCGGCUAACUCCGUGCCAGCAGCCGCGGUAAUACGGAGGGUGCAAGCGUUAAUCGGAAUUACUGGGCGUAAAGCGCACGCAGGCGGUCUGUCAAGUCGGAUGUGAAAUCCCCGGGCUCAACCUGGGAACUGCAUUCGAAACUGGCAGGCUAGAGUCUUGUAGAGGGGGGUAGAAUUCCAGGUGUAGCGGUGAAAUGCGUAGAGAUCUGGAGGAAUACCGGUGGCGAAGGCGGCCCCCUGGACAAAGACUGACGCUCAGGUGCGAAAGCGUGGGGAGCAAACAGGAUUAGAUACCCUGGUAGUCCACGCCGUAAACGAUGUCGACUUGGAGGUUGUUCCCUUGAGGAGUGGCUUCCGGAGCUAACGCGUUAAGUCGACCGCCUGGGGAGUACGGCCGCAAGGUUAAAACUCAAAUGAAUUGACGGGGGCCCGCACAAGCGGUGGAGCAUGUGGUUUAAUUCGAUGCAACGCGAAGAACCUUACCUACUCUUGACAUCCAGAGAACUUUCCAGAGAUGGAUUGGUGCCUUCGGGAACUCUGAGACAGGUGCUGCAUGGCUGUCGUCAGCUCGUGUUGUGAAAUGUUGGGUUAAGUCCCGCAACGAGCGCAACCCUUAUCCUUUGUUGCCAGCGGCUAGGCCGGGAACUCAAAGGAGACUGCCAGUGAUAAACUGGAGGAAGGUGGGGAUGACGUCAAGUCAUCAUGGCCCUUACGAGUAGGGCUACACACGUGCUACAAUGGCGCAUACAAAGAGAAGCGACCUCGCGAGAGCAAGCGGACCUCAUAAAGUGCGUCGUAGUCCGGAUUGGAGUCUGCAACUCGACUCCAUGAAGUCGGAAUCGCUAGUAAUCGUAGAUCAGAAUGCUACGGUGAAUACGUUCCCGGGCCUUGUACACACCGCCCGUCACACCAUGGGAGUGGGUUGCAAAAGAAGUAGGUAGCUUAACCUUCGGGAGGGCGCUUACCACUUUGUGAUUCAUGACUGGGGUGAAGUCGUAACAAGGUAGCCGUA
rnacentral:rRNA from 1 species